rnacentral:misc_RNA from 1 species
UUUCCGUAGGUGAACCUGCGGAAGGAUCAUUAUCGUAUAGCCGAGGUAAGUGGCCUGUCGCUGUCCCGAAUGGUCGUGCACGCCCGAGUACUCUCACACACAUCCAUCGCACCACUAUGUGCAUUACCCCGUGGGUCUUCCCUUGGAUUGUUCGGAGGGGGGGUUACGUUUCAACACAAACUUUUUAUGCAGUGUGGUAUGUAUUUUUUGUUUUUGCAAACACGCAAUAAAUACAACUUUCAACAACGGAUCUCUUGGCUCUC